GUGAAAUGAGAGAGAAAGUGGAUAUAUCACUGAGUUAGGGAGGUGAAGACAGCUCCUUCAUCCAUGAGGACAUUCUCCCACCUUGGUGCAAGACAGCAAAGUGCAGACAGGAUCUGAGCCUGGGCCAGCAGGAAUCUUUCACUGGCUGCUGCCUUUGUGCUUUGGAGCCCUGCAGAAGGUGAAUGUGUGUCUGCAUCACGUGAGGGCUGGACUGAUGGGCUGAUGCUUCAGGAGCUGAGCUACGUUUCAGAAAGGAGGGUUGAAGAGCACUUGAUGCCAGACGUUAUUUUACAUGUGUGUUCUGACACCAGACUUCACUACUGCGCCUCACCUUUCUCUGUGUGCGUGGGUUUGAACACCUUUGCCAACUACAACCCUAUG